rnacentral:tmRNA from 1 species
GGGGCUGACUGGUUUUGACAGCAAGGUGAAUGUGUCAGUAAGCAUGCCGAGCCAGGUGACGACGCUCGUAAAUCUUGGUCACAGCCAUAAAUGGCAACAACAACUACGCACUUGCUGCUUAAUCAACGGGAUGUUGGUUAGCUUUAUCUGCCACCAGGUGGCAGAGCAAGUCAUCCUGCUACAGCCGAUUCGCCCGGCGGUAGAUUACAGGGUGUCAUAAAAGGGUGAAUAGGGGAGUGUAGGCUGCGAACACGCCCCGAAAACACAGCAGCUAAGCCAUCGGCAGGGUGUCUGUCUCCAUCCGAUGGUCGAAAAAGCAACGACAGACUAAGCAUGUAGAAAGCUGAUGUGUUCCUUGUUUGGACGCGGGUUCGAAUCCCGCCAGCUCCAC